UGGGGAAUAUUGGACAAUGGGCGAAAGCCUGAUCCAGCAAUGCCGCGUGUGUGAAGAAGGUCUUCGGAUUGUAAAGCACUUUCGACGGGGACGAUGAUGACGGUACCCGUAGAAGAAGCCCCGGCUAACUUCGUGCCAGCAGCCGCGGUAAUACGAAGGGGGCUAGCGUUGCUCGGAAUGACUGGGCGUAAAGGGCGCGUAGGCGGCCCGGUAAGUCAAAGGUGAAAUCCCUCGGCUCAACUGAGGAACUGCCUUUGAAACUGUCGGGCUUGAGGCCGGGAGGGGGUAGCGGAAUUCCCAGUGUAGCGGUGAAAUGCGUAGAUAUUGGGAGGAACACCGGUGGCGAAGGCGGCUACCUGGACCGGUUCUGACGCUGAUGCGCGAAAGCGUGGGGAGCAAA
rnacentral:rRNA from 1 species